UACGUAGGGUGCAAGCGUUAUCCGGAAUUAUUGGGCGUAAAGAGCUCGUAGGCGGUUUGUCGCGUCUGCUGUGAAAACCCGAGGCUCAACCUCGGGCCUGCAGUGGGUACGGGCAGACUAGAGUGCGGUAGGGGAGAUUGGAAUUCCUGGUGUAGCGGUGAAAUGCGCAGAUAUCAGGAAGAACACCAAUGGCGAAAGCAGCUUUCUGGGACGGUACUGACGCUGAGACGCGAAAGCGUGGGGAGCGAACAGG
rnacentral:rRNA from 1 species